rnacentral:rRNA from 1 species
AUUGAACGCUAGCGGGAUGCUUUACACAUGCAAGUCGAACGGAGUGGCGGACGGGUGAGUAAUAUAUCGGAACGUGCCUAGUAGAGGGGGAUAACUAACCGAAAGAGUGGCCAAUACCGCAUACAUUUGCCGCGGCCGAUAUCGGAUUAGCUUGGUGGUGGGGUAAAGGGUCACCAAGGCAACGAUCCGUAGCUGGUUUGAGAGGACGACCAGCCACACUGGGACUGAGACACGGCCCAGACGCCUACGGGAGGCAUCAGUGGGGAAUUUUGGACAAUGGGCGAAACCCUGAUCCAGCCAUGCCGCGUGUAUGAUGAAGGCCUUCGGGUUGUAAAGUACUUUUGGCAGAGAAGCGGUAUCUGCAGAAUAAGCACCGGCUAACUACGUGCCAGCAGCCGCGGUAAUUC